rnacentral:rRNA from 1 species
CAGUAGCCGCGGUAAUACGAAGGGUGCAAGCGUUACUCGGAAUUACUGGGCGUAAAGCGUGCGUAGGUGGUGGUUUAAGUCCGUUGUGAAAGCCCUGGGCUCAACCUGGGAAUUGCAGUGGAUACUGGGUCACUAGAGUGUGGUAGAGGAUAGUGGAAUUUCCGGUGUAGCAGUGAAAUGCGUAGAGAUCGGAAGGAACAUCUGUGGCGAAGGCGACUAUCUGGGCCAACACUGACACUGAGGCACGAAAGCGUGGGGAGCAAACAGGAUUAGAGACCCCUGUAGUCCCUGUCUCUUAUAU